UAGGGAAUAUUGGGCAAUGGAGGGAACUCUGACCCAGCCAUGCCGCGUGCAGGAUGAAGGCGUUAUGCGUUGUAAACUGCUUUUUAUAUAGGAAGAAAUAGUCCUUGCGAGGAAAGUUGACGGUACUAUAUGAAUAAGCACCGGCUAACUCCGUGCCAGCAGCCGCGGUAAUACGGAGGGUGCAAGCGUUGUCCGGAUUUAUUGGGUUUAAAGGGUGCGUAGGCGGUUUAUUAAGUCAGUGGUGAAAGACGGUCGCUCAACGAUUGCAGUGCCAUUGAUACUGGUAGACUUGAGUAUGAUUGAGGUAGCUGGAAUGGAUAGUGUAGCGGUGAAAUGCAUAGAUAUCGUCAAGAACACCGAUAGCGAAGGCAGCUUACCAAGCUGUAACUGACACUGAGGCACGAAAGUGUGGGGAUCAAACAGGAUUAGAUACCCAUGUAGUCCCUGAGCGGGCUGGCAAGGCGCAU
rnacentral:rRNA from 1 species